ACAUAUUUCCACAAUACCACCACCAUUCCACAUCCAAACUUCCAAACCAAACCCAUUAAUUCUUUCUCUACUUUACUACCAUAAACCCCAAACUAUUAUUACUAAACAAGAAUCCAAGAUGUGCAUAAGAAGGUUCCAGGAUUCAAGGGUCAAGAUCAUGUUACUAAACCCAUAAGAUAAGGAGUCAUCACCUCUCUCUCUCCUUUUAAUUUAUGCAUAGGGUUUAUUAGAAUAUCCCAUUCUGUCUCUUCUCUUCUCACCUCACCUUCUCAUUCCACAUCUAUACAAAAUGUCAGCUGAAAUUAGGAGGAUCCAUUGUAGAGCAAGAAUUGUAGUAUUUUCAAUAAGCUUCUUCCUCUUGAUACUCUCACAACUUUGCGUAUCAUCGUCGGCGGAAGCCGGGAUCAGCCGCUCACGGUGGUCUCCGGCGAGAAAAGCGCGGUUUCAUGGCCCUUCACACCACCAUGCAAGAGGUCCACAGCCACUGUAUGAAGAAGACAAGAGACUAAUACACACAGGGCCUAAUCCUCUCCACAACUAAGCUCUAUCUACUGUGCUUUCUCAGCGAUUGUUAAAUGAGGUCUGACGAAAAAAAAAGGAGGAAGAAACAAGCCUACAAGCCUACCUGCAUUUGAUGUUUUCUUCCUUUUGGAGUUUUUAUUUUAUUUAUUAUUUUUAACAUUUGUGCUGCUAUAUUAAUUGCUGCAAUUACUCCUCUUCAUCUA